UACGAGGGGGGCAAAUGUUGUUCGGAAUCACUGGGCGUAAAGGGAGCGUAGGCGGGUGUUUAAGUUAGGUGUUUAAUCCCGGGGCCCAACCCCGGACAGGCACCUAAAACUGGACAUCUUGAAUAGUGGAGAGGACGACGGAAUUGGGGGUGUAGCGGUGGAAUGCGUAGAGAUCCCCAAGAACACCAGUUGCGAAGGCGGUCGUCUGGACACAUAUUGACGCUGAGGCUCGAAAGCAUGGGGAGCAAACAGG
rnacentral:rRNA from 1 species